CCCUGUGAUAAGGUCCAGAAGUGCUUAGAUCCAGAAUAUAAAAUAUGCGAUCCAUCAAUGUGUAUUAAUGAUCAGCCCUUCUAGCUACUCCUAGAAGGAAACUAACUUUGAUUCACAUGGCUACGAUUAACCCCGUAAUAGGGUAAAGAGAUUAAACUUAAAAAUAAACAUGUGAUAUAUCAGCAUGUGCUAGCAAUCAAACCCAAUUGGCUAUAUUCAGAAGGACUAAAUCUGCUAAUGAUCAAUCCCAACUAGCUAGAUCCAAGAGAAACAAGUUCUAACAUAUGAUCGAUGAUUAGUCUCCUUGGUUAGACCCAAAUCAUAGUUUAAUUAGAGAGUUUUGCUUAUAGUUUCAUCAUAAUCAAUUUCUCAUAAAUAAUUAUACUUAUUUUUGUAAUAAUAUCAAUUCAAAUAUUUCAUAUCUUAUUUCUAGUUACAAGAGAAU
rnacentral:lncRNA from 1 species